UGGUAAUAUUUGGUUACAGUAAGAUCUGUUGUUUCACAGGAAGUCCAGCAGAGGGGCCUGUAAUUUGAUUCAGUUAGUAACUUGGAAAACCAAGAGGGGAAGAAAGCCCAACAUUCUUAAGGAACAUUUUGCACUGAAGAGACUUGCUGGGUGAGUGACUGGAACUGAAAGAAGAAGCUUGCAUUGGUGAAUUUCUGGCUGAAGACACCACCUGGACUUCCACCUGGAGAUCUGGACUUGUGGGAGAAUUUGCCAGGACUGAGCCUGACUUCACAGGAUUAGCACUUAUGCUGGUAAACUUUAACCAGAAUGCUAUUUUUUAAAUUUUAUUUUCAUUGAAAGCAAGUAUGGCUGCCUACAUUCCAAGAUGACUUCCCCUUCUGCCAAGUGUCUCAAAGGUAAGGCAUUGCCUCCAAUCAUUCAAAAAUUUGAGUUAUAAAACACAAACUGAAGUAUACAUAUAUACACACAACCUAUAAAACUGUAACUAUAGCGGUGACUAGGUUCCAAGUAAUGGAUUUUGAUUUGUUUUCCCAGAUCUUCCCACAAUGACUCAAUUUGAUUGAAAUGAUGCAAUUCUAAAGGGAUUCAUUAGGUUCCAUUGCUAGGUUACCAUUUGC
rnacentral:lncRNA from 1 species